UACAGAGGGUGCAAGCGUUGUUCGGAAUUAUUGGGCGUAAAGCGCGUGUAGGCGGCUUUGCAAGUCGGGUGUGAAAGCCCUCAGCUUAACUGAGGAAGUGCGCCCGAAACUGCAGAGCUUGGAUACCGGAGAGGAUGGCGGAAUUCCCCAAGUAGAGGUGAAAUUCGUAGAUAUGGGGAGGAACACCGGUGGCGAAGGCGGCCAUCUGGACGGCUAUUGACGCUGAGACGCGAAAGCGUGGGAAGCAAACAGG
rnacentral:rRNA from 1 species